GUCAGCAGCCAUAUCACCCUGCAGCCCAAGACUGGUUGCCCACUGAAGCUAAGCAGGGUUGAGCCUGGUCAGUACCUUGAUGGGAGACCUCCUGGGAAAACUAGGUUGCUGCUGGAA
rnacentral:rRNA from 1 species